rnacentral:rRNA from 1 species
UACGUGCCAGCAGCCGCGGUAAUACGUAGGGUGCAAGCGUUGUCCGAAUUAUUGGGCGUAAAGAGCUCGUAGGCGGUUUGUCGCGUCUGCUGUGAAAACUGGAGGCCAACCUCCAGCCUGCAGUGGGUACGGGCAGACUAGAGUGCGGUAGGGGAGAUUGGAAUUCUGGUGUAGCGGUGGAAUGCGCAGAUAUCAGGAGGAACACCGAUGGCGAAGGCAGAUCUCUGGCCGUAACUGACGCUGAGGAGCGAAAGCAUGGGGAGCGAACAGGAUUAGAUACCCUGGUGUCCAUGCCGUAAACGUUGGGAACUAGAUGUGGGGCCAUUCCACGGUCUCCGUGUCGCAGUAACGCAUUAAGUUCCCCGCCUGGGGAGUACGGCCGCAAGGCUAAAACUCAAAGGAAUUGCGGGGGCCCGCACAAGCGGCGGAGCAUGCGGAUUAAUUCGAUGCAACGCGAAGAACCUUACAAGGCUUGACAUAUACGAGAACGGGCCAGAAAUGGUCAACUCUUUGGACACUCGUAAACGGUGGUGCAUGGUUGUCGUCAGCUCGUGUCGUGAGAUGUUGGGUUAAGUCCCGCAACGAGGCAACCCUCGUUCUAUGUUGCCAGCACGUUAUGGUGGGAACUCAUAGGAGACUGCCGGGGCAACUCGGAGGAAGGUGGGGAUGACGUCAAAUCAUCAUGCCCCUUAUGUCUUGGGCUUCAGCAUGCUACAAUGGCCGGUACAAAGGGCUGCAAUACCGUAAGGUGGAGCGAAUCCCAAAAGCCGGUCUCAGUUCGGAUUGAGGUCUGCAACUCGACCUCAUGAAGUCGGAGUCGCUAGUAUCGCAGAUCAGCAACGCUGCGGUGAAUACGUUCCCGGGCCUUGCACACACCGCCCGUAA